AGCACCGUAGCACAGUUGGGAGUGCGCCGGUCUCAUACUAUCCAUGUGUGGAAUCCGGAGGUCGCUUGAUCGAGACAAGCCGUUGCUA